rnacentral:rRNA from 1 species
AACGAACGCUGGCGGCAGGCUUAACACAUGCAAGUCGAACGGGUGUAGCAAUACAUCAGUGGCAGACGGGUGAGUAACACGUGGGAACCUUCCUAGGGGGUACGGAACAACUCAGGGAAACUUGAGCUAAUACCGUAUACGUCCGUGAGGAGAAAGAUUUAUCGCCCUUAGACGGGCCCGCGUCGGAUUAGCUGGUUGGUGGGGUAACGGCCUACCAAGGCGACGAUCCGUAGCUGAUCUUAGAGGAUGAUCAGCCACACUGGGACUGAGACACGGCCCAGACUCCUACGGGAGGCAGCAGUGGGGAAUCUUGGACAAUGGGCGCAAGCCUGAUCCAGCCAUGCCGCGUGAGUGAAGAAGGUCUUCGGAUUGUAAAGCUCUUUUGCCAGGGACGAUAAUGACGGUACCUGGAGAAUAAGCCCGGCAAACUUCGUGCCAGCAGCCGCGGUAAU